rnacentral:tRNA from 1 species
GCUAAUGUAGUUCAGUUGGUAGAGUGCUUGCCUAGCAUUCAGGAAGUCCUGGGUUUGAUUCCCAGCACUGCA